CUUGCUUCUCUUGAGAGCGGCGGACGGGUGAGUAAUGCCUAGGAAUCUGCCUGGUAGUGGGGGAUAACGUUCGGAAACGGACGCUAAUACCGCAUACGUCCUACGGGAGAAAGCAGGGGACCUUCGGGCCUUGCGCUAUCAGAUGAGCCUAGGUCGGAUUAGCUAGUUGGUGGGGUAAUGGCUCACCAAGGCGACGAUCCGUAACUGGUCUGAGAGGAUGAUCAGUCACACUGGAACUGAGACACGGUCCAGACUCCUACGGGAGGCAGCAGUGGGGAAUAUUGGACAAUGGGCGAAAGCCUGAUCCAGCCAUGCCGCGUGUGUGAAGAAGGUCUUCGGAUUGUAAAGCACUUUAAGUUGGGAGGAAGGGUUGUAGAUUAAUACUCUGCAAUUUUGACGUUACCGACAGAAUAAGCACCGGCUAACUCUGUGCCAGCAGCCGCGGUAAUACAGAGGGUGCAAGCGUUAAUCGGAAUUACUGGGCGUAAAGCGCGCGUAGGUGGUUUGUUAAGUUGGAUGUGAAAUCCCCGGGCUCAACCUGGGAACUGCAUUCAAAACUGACUGACUAGAGUAUGGUAGAGGGUGGUGGAAUUUCUUGUGUAGCGGUGAAAUGCGUAGAUAUAGGAAGGAACACCAGUGGCGAAAGCGACCACCUGGACUAAUACUGACACUGAGUGCGAAAGCGUGGGGAGUAAACAGGAUUAGAUACCCUGGUAGUCCACGCCGUAAACGAUGUCAACUAGCCGUUGGGAAGCCUUGAGCUUU
rnacentral:rRNA from 1 species